GGACUACCAGGGUAUCUAAUCCUGUUUGAUCCCCUUGCUUUCGCGCUUUAGCGUCAGGAAUAAGCUAGAAAACCGCCUUCGCCACCGGUGUUCUUCCACAUAUCUACGCAUUUCACCGCUACUUGUGGAAUUCCGUUUUCUCCGCCUAUCCUCUAGAAAUGCAGUUUCAAAUGCUGUUCCGAGGUUGAGCCCCGGGAUUUCACAUCUGACUUACAUCCCCGCCUACGCGCCCUUUACGCCCAAUAAAUCCGAUUAAUGCUUGCACCCUCCGUAUUACCGCGGCUGCUGGCAC
rnacentral:rRNA from 1 species